GGUGACGAUAGCGUGAGGGAUACACCUGUUCCCAUCCCGAACACAGAAGUUAAGCCUCACAUCGCCGAUGGUACUUGGUUGGAAACGGCCUGGGAGAGUAGGUAGUCGCCA
rnacentral:rRNA from 1 species